CGCUCACACACUCGCAGACACCAUCUCUGAGAGACAUACACGAUUCAAAACUACUGGAAAGCCGAAAAGCUGGGUAUUGGAAAAAAAACGCCCUCUAGCCAAGCAGCAGAAGAUGGGGGGCGGUGGCAGAUUUCCAGAUCAGCAACAUUCUCCUACGGGCUAAAAGCGAUGUCAUUUAUAAAAGAAUCAUGAAGAGUGAAGAUCCCAAAACAGAUCCCAGAGGCACACCGCUGAUCUCCGACCUCCAUGCAGAAUAUGACCCAUCUACAGGCACGGUGGACAACCACAUCUAUGGGCAAACGAGUUCUGAAUCCACCAAAAUAGAGUUGUUAACAGGGAUGCAUCAACAGGAAAGGCGCUUGUUAUCUCUUUAAACCUCACGAUGAUGCGAAGAUAGAAUUCUGAAACAAUGGUUCAAAGCUGCUGGAAAUGAGCUCAAUCGAGGAGGAAGUUUGUGCGAGAGCAUGUGAGGAUGACUCCACAGUAUCCGGGGCCUGACAAAGUUCGGCUUCAAACACACCGUCCCAUUACACACUCCC